rnacentral:rRNA from 1 species
UAAUACGUAGGAUGCAAGCGUUAUCCGGAAUUAUUGGGCGUAAAGCGUACGUAGGCGGUUUACCAAGUCUGGGGUUAAAGACCGAGGCUCAACCUCGGGAGUGCCCUGGAAACUGGUAGACUGGAGGACGGCAGAGGAAAGUGGAAUUCCCAGUGUAGCGGUGAAAUGCGUAGAUAUUGGGAGGAACACCAGUGGCGAAAGCGACUUUCUGGGCCGUUCCUGACGCUGAGGUACGAAAGCCAGGGGAGCAAACGGGAUUAGAUACCCCGGUAGUCCUGGCCGUAAACGAUGGAUACUAGGUGUCAUCAGUAUCAACCCUGGUGGUGCCGUAGCUAACGCGUUAAGUAUCCCGCCUGGGGAGUACGGUCGCAAGGCUG